GGAAAGGCGCGCGAUACAGGGUGACAGCCCCGUACACAAAAAUGCACAUGCUGUGAGCUCGAUGAGUAGGGCGGGACACGUGGUAUCCUGUCUGAAUAUGGGGGGACCAUCCUCCAAGGCUAAAUACUCCUGACUGACCGAUAGUGAACCAGUACCGUGAGGGAAAGGCGAAAAGAACCCCGGCGAGGGGAGUGAAAAAGAACCUGAAACCGUGUACGUACAAGCAGUGGGAGCACGCUUAGGCGUGUGACUGCGUACCUUUUGUAUAAUGGGUCAGCGACUUAUAUUCUGUAGCAAGGUUAACCGAAUAGGGGAGCCGAAGGGAAACCGAGUCUUAACUGGGCGUUAAGUUGCAGGGUAUAGACCCGAAACCCGGUGAUCUAGCCAUGGGCAGGUUGAAGGUUGGGUAACACUAACUGGAGGACCGAACCGACUAAUGUUGAAAAAUUAGCGGAUGACUUGUGGCUGGGGGUGAAAGGCCAAUCAAACCGGGAGAUAGCUGGUUCUCCCCGAAAGCUAUUUAGGUAGCGCCUCGUGAAUUCAUCUCCGGGGGUAGAGCACUGUUUCGGCAAGGGGGUCAUCCCGACUUACCAACCCGAUGCAAACUGCGAAUACCGGAGAAUGUUAUCACGGGAGACACACGGCGGGUGCUAACGUCCGUCGUGAAGAGGGAAACAACCCAGACCGCCAGCUAAGGUCCCAAAGUCAUGGUUAAGUGGGAAACGAUGUGGGAAGGCCCAGACAGCCAGGAUGUUGGCUUAGAAGCAGCCAUCAUUUAAAGAAAGCGUAAUAGCUCACUGGUCGAGUCGGCCUGCGCGGAAGAUGUAACGGGGCUAAACCAUGCACCGAAGCUGCGGCAGCGACGCUGAUGCGUUGUUGGGUAGGGGAGCGUUCUGUAAGCCUGCGAAGGUGUGCUGUGAGGCAUGCUGGAGGUAUCAGAAGUGCGAAUGCUGACAUAAGUAACGAUAAAGCGGGUGAAAAGCCCGCUCGCCGGAAGACCAAGGGUUCCUGUCCAACGUUAAUCGGGGCAGGGUGAGUCGACCCCUAAGGCGAGGCCGAAAGGCGUAGUCGAUGGGAAACAGGUUAAUAUUCCUGUACUUGGUGUUACUGCGAAGGGGGGACGGAGAAGGCUAUGUUGGCCGGGCGACGGUUGUCCCGGUUUAAGCGUGUAGGCUGGUUUUCCAGGCAAAUCCGGAAAAUCAAGGCUGAGGCGUGAUGACGAGGCACUACGGUGCUGAAGCAACAAAUGUCCUGCUUCCAGGAAAAGCCUCUAAGCAUCAGGUAACAUCAAAUCGUACCCCAAACCGACACAGGUGGUCAGGUAGAGAAUACCAAGGCGCUUGAGAGAACUCGGGUGAAGGAACUAGGCAAAAUGGUGCCGUAACUUCGGGAGAAGGCACGCUGAUAUGUAGGUGAAGUCCCU
rnacentral:rRNA from 1 species